AUGAGGUGCUCCAGCUGGUCCCACCUUGGCCAUCUGGAUCCUUUCGGAGGGAUUAUGCUGGGCGACUGUGGAGCGCGGCGGGAUGAGCCGACUGUCGCUGCGGUUCAGCCCUCCCGGCCCCGAGGCAGCGCCGGGCGCCACUGCCACGUUUUCAGGAGGGAAUUUCUCCGAAACGGGAAUGAGAGAGACUCCGCUUUCACUCAAAUCCCCUUCGUUUUCCUGCGAAUCGCUGCUGAAGGAGUUGCCCUGCCGAGCUGCGCUGCUGAGAGCCUAGGCAGCGCUUUUCGCUUUUCUUUCUGGGCCAAUAUCCUUGUUUGCACGUCUUUGCUGCAAAACCCGGCGAUAAAAAUAGGCGAGCUGCGAGAACGCUGAGUUUUUUUGGUUUUAAAAUGGAGCAAAACGAGCGUGCGGUGGGCCGCUCUGUUUGCGGUGUGGUUUAGGCCGAGGGAGGCUGGUCUCUGAGUCCCUGAGCCUUCGUCUCCCUCCCGGCCGCCCAAAAACGGAGCCGGUAGUUCCCCUGGCCACAAAAGGCUGGGAAAAAAACAGGAAAAAGGAAAAAAACUACCCUGCUUCCGGCUGGGGAGAGAAACGAGAGGAUCAGCCCAGUCCGGGUGCUGUCCCAAUAGGGAAUGACCACCGGCAGGAAUAGCUCAAAGAUCCUGCCAAGCCCCCUUUUUCCUCAUAAUAGCAAUGAGUGAUGGAAGACGGGGUGUAAAACGGGGGUAAAAUGGGCGAUUUUCACACUAGUGGUGAUCGUGGCUCGUGCAAAACAGAUAUAAAAAAAUAUGGGGAUCUGCAAGGGAGAAAUGAGGCGGAAAAGGCAAAAAACAGCCUUGAUUUGCAUCACCCUGCGCCCAGACAGAUGGGAUUGAGGGACAGUGCUGCAGGCGAGAGGGGAAAAAAGAGCUCAUAGCAUCUUUUUGCUUUAAAAACUCCACGUUUUUAGCCAGCAAACCUCUCUUUGCAGGCCCCAAACCCCCUCUGACUUCAGCUCGGCUCUUCCCAUAGCGCCGUGUGCCGCCGCCUUUGAUCUCGGCCGCGUUCUUGAGCAGCUUUGCAGCCUGUUUUGGGUAAGAUACAAAGGGAAUUAGGGCUCGGUGGGGGAGGGAACCUCACAGCUCUCCCUCCUCUGCCCCAGCAAGGCAGGUCGGACUCCGGUUUGGCUCUCCCGAAAUGAACCUUGACGCGGCACACAGUGAAACGAGGGCGCCCCAGCCACAUCCUGCAGGCGCCAGCUGUAAAACCAGGGUAUUUUUGGCAUGGCCCCGAUACAAACUUUUUGGGAGAAAAGAGAAAAGAAAACAAAACUCCCUCAUCCCUGCCGAAAGCAACCGGGUGCCUUAAAUUCCUGCGGCGAGGUGCUUGGCCCCGC
rnacentral:lncRNA from 1 species